rnacentral:rRNA from 1 species
GACGAACGCUGGCGGCGUGCCUAAUACAUGCAAGUAGAACGCUGAAGAGAGGAGCUUGCUCUUCUUGGAUGAGUUGCGAACGGGUGAGUAACGCGUAGGUAACCUGCCUGGUAGCGGGGGAUAACUAUUGGAAACGAUAGCUAAUACCGCAUAAAAUGGAUUAUCGCAUGAUAAUCCAUUGAAAGGUGCAAAUGCAUCACCACCAGAUGGACCUGCGUUGUAUUAGCUAGUUGGUGGGGUAACGGCUCACCAAGGCGACGAUACAUAGCCGACCUGAGAGGGUGAUCGGCCACACUGGGACUGAGACACGGCCCAGACUCCUACGGGAGGCAGCAGUAGGGAAUCUUCGGCAAUGGACGGAAGUCUGACCGAGCAACGCCGCGUGAGUGAAGAAGGUUUUCGGAUCGUAAAGCUCUGUUGUAAGAGAAGAACGAGUGUGAGAGUGGAAAGUUCACACUGUGACGGUAUCUUACCAGAAAGGGACGGCUAACUACGUG